rnacentral:rRNA from 1 species
AUACGGAGGUUGCAAGCGUUAUUCGGAAUCACUGGGCGUAAAGGACGCGUAGGCGGGUUGGCAAGUCAGAUGUGAAAUCCUACAGCUUAACUGUAGAACUGCAUUUGAAACUGCUAACCUAGAGUAUGGGAGGGGGAGAUGGAAUUAGUGGUGUAGGGGUAAAAUCCGUAGAUAUCACUAGGAAUACCGAAAGCGAAGGCGAUCUCCUGGAACAUAGCUGACGCUAAGGCGUGAAAGCGUGGGGAGCAAACAGGAUUAGAAACCCCUGUAGUCC